rnacentral:rRNA from 1 species
GCUUAACCGAAGAAGUGCAUCGGAAACUGGGUGACUUGAGUGCAGAAGAGGACAGCGGAACUCCAUGUGUAGCGGUGGAAUGCGUAGAUAUAUGGAAGAACACCAGUGGCGAAGGCGGCUGUCUGGUCUGCAACUGACGCUGAGGCUCGAAAGCAUGGGUAGCGAACAGGAUUAGAUACCCUGGUAGUCCAUGCCGUAAACGAUGAGUGCUAGGUGUUGGAGGGUUUCCGCCCUUCAGUGCCGGAGCUAACGCAUUAAGCACUCCGCCUGGGGAGUACGACCGCAAGGUUGAAACUCAAAGGAAUUGACGGGGGCCCGCACAAGCGGUGGAGCAUGUGGUUUAAUUCGAAGCUACGCGAAGAACCUUACCAGGUCUUGACAUCUUGCGCUAACCUAAGAGAUUAGGCGUUCCCUUCGGGGACGCAAUGACAGGUGGUGCAUGGUCGUCGUCAGCUCGUGUCGUGAGAUGUUGGGUUAAGUCCCGCAACGAGCGCAACCCUUGUUACUAGUUGCCAGCAUUCAGUUGGGCACUCUAGUGAGACUGCCGGUGACAAACCGGAGGAAGGUGGGGAUGACGUCAGAUCAUCAUGCCCCUUAUGACCUGGGCUACACACGUGCUACAAUGGUCGGUACAACG